CACUGGCGCUCGCUGGAUCUCCCGCUCGCGUGCUUGUUUCGUGUGUCUUUUUCUUUCCUAACCGAAAUCAUAAUGCGAGAGAUACCUUCUCUUGUUAAACAUGAAAGCACUCUGCGCUCUGCGAGCGACUUUGAUUCGUCUUAGUCGCACUCAAUGCAGCAGUCACAUUGUUUACAGUGUGAACUCAUUGAGAGUAGAGGCAGCGCGGCCUUACAGCUGCAAGUGCUUAGACACUCAAACUUUUCUUGUAUCUGAAAUCAAGCAGGACCACCCGCUGAACUUAAGCAUAUCAAUAAGCGGAGGAA
rnacentral:rRNA from 1 species